rnacentral:ncRNA from 2 species
UAAUAAUUGCGACCAUGUGGUGCUUCUUAAUAUAAGUUAAAAGGGAAUGUGGUGAAAAUCCACAGCAGCCCCCGUUACUGUCAAUGGAAUGAAAAUUGCGGAAGUGUCAUUGUAUCUUCUUUAGCGUUAAGGAUACGGCUCCUAGCCUUAAAAAGCGAAGAAUGAUAUGAGAAGACAGCAAUGAGUAAAAUGACCAUGAGCCAGGAAACCUGCCAUAUGAGAAUGAAUCAU